UCUGAGAGGCUGCCCCACCACCCCCAGCCAGGCAUCUCUCCUCCCUGGAGCAUCAAAUCUCUAGAAGAUUAGUCACAACCUCUCUGUGGCCAGACAAGAGAGAAAACACACUGGCCAAAAGCAACUUUUUGAGGAAAAAGAUGGUUAAUCAACCCUUCCAGUCUCCUGCUGACUGCAGAUCACAAUGUACAAGUCUCAGCUCCUUCUCCAGCACCAUAUCUGCCUGCAUGCUAUUAUGCUUCUCUCUAU